GCCCCCAGGCCGAAGGGAGCCGCUCCGAGAUGGCCAGGCCAGGGGGCCAGGGGCUGGGACUGUCAGUUCUCAUGGACCGGAAGAGCCCCAAGUGGCCAGUGCUCCUGCCGGUGUGUCCCCAGAACGUGGAAUGGUGCCUGGUGCAAAGGAGGUGUGGCUGGUGGCCCCAUUUCACAGAGGAGCCAAGUGAG